AGCGAACGUUUGCGGCGGGCCUAACACAUGCAAGUCGAACGAGAUCUCGGGCUUCGGUCCGGGUGAAAGAGGCGCACGGGUGCGUAACACGUGGGUAAUCAACCCUCUGGAUCGGGACAACCCGGGGAAACUCGGGCUAAUACCGGAUACGUCGUCGGAGCUCUAGGGCUCUGACGGGAAAGGCCUGCAAGGGCUACCAGAGGACGAGCUCGCGGCCCAUCAGCUAGUUGGUGAGGUAAUGGCUCACCAAGGCGAAGACGGGUAGCUGGUCUGAGAGGAUGAUCAGCCACACUGGAACUGAGACACGGUCCAGACUCCUACGGGAGGCAGCAGUGGGGAAUAUUGCGCAAUGGGCGAAAGCCUGACGCAGCCACGCCGCGUGUGCGAUGAAGGUCUUCGGAUCGUAAAGCACUGUGGGGGGAGAAGAACAAAGCUGGUGAAGAGCCAGCCCUGACGGUAUCCCCUUAGCAAGCACCGGCUAACUCCGUGCCAGC
rnacentral:rRNA from 1 species